AGUCUCCACCCAGCUGGGUCUCUGUCACAGAGAAACCAAAGACCACAAGACCUCCUUUGAGCUCUCUGCUGCCCCCAACCUCAGUGUGAUUGGAUGAUGACUAUGAUGUCACCAGAGAGCAUCACUUCUGAACUGAUCUGAAAAGAAGCUGAAAUCUCCGUAGAUCAGAAACAGUUCCACCGGCUGUCUUGAUAUAAUUAUGAUUUAAACAUAUUCAAUAUGAAAUCAUUGCUUUAAGUUUGAAUUGCUGCUUUACUGCCAGCAACAGCUAUCUCUGUAAUCCUGAAUAUUUUAUAUAUCAUAACAAAUAAAGCUUUUUUUCUCUGUAGUUUUUCA